CGAGCCCUUCUCCCCUCCUUCCUCUCUCUCUCUGCUUCCCCCCUCCCACCUCCUCUUCUCCCUCUCGCCGUGCCACCGUGGGGCGAGCCUCCUCCGGGAGAUGCUCCCACCUCGGAGCGGCAGAAGGGAAAGGGUAGGGGGCCCUGGACCUCCUCCGAAGUGGUGCCGGAGGAGUCAAACGGGUCCCCGAGGUGGGGCCGAGCCCCUGGGAGCUCCCCUGAGGAGGCGGACGCUUCCUCGGCCUGCAGCCGCUCCGGCGACUGCGGCCGAGGGGUGCCCUUCUCCAGGGUGGGAGCAGUGGGAGAGGGCGGGCCUAAACCUCCUCCCAAGUGAUGCCGGAGUGAGUUUUAGUCUCCGGGGACCUCCCUUACCCCGAUCCGACCACGGCGGAGGAGGAGAACCACCGUGACCGAGAAGGAGGCGCGAGAGACCCAGGGUGGGAGCAGUGGGAGAGGGAGGGCCUAAACCUCCUCCAAAGUGAUGCCGGAGUGAGUUUUAGUCUCCGGGGACCUCCCUUACCCCGAUCCGACCACGGCGGAGGAGGAGAACCACCGUGACCGAGAAGGAGGCGCGAGAGACCCAGCAAUAGGCGAGACAUAUAUGGAAGGUCUACUACAUUGCUGGCACCCGAUCUGCAUUCAUUGUAAGUUGGAGAGGUCAUCACCAGAGGAGAAGAGGUGCAGGGAUCUUCUCCUCUUUUUUGCGUGCAUGUAUAUUAAUGAGAUGAUGGGCAAGUUGUGAAAUUACUCCUCUUCUUUGCGUGUCAACUUCUCUAGCAAUAGAAUUCAUUGGAUUUGGAGGCUGAUGAUAGUUUCAAGAUAAAGAUGGUAUCGAUAAAGAUCUUGAUUUGAAAGCAUUGGUAGCUUGCGGGUUGGGAGGGAACCCUCUUGGUUCACGUAUCCAAAAGCUCCAAAAAAAUUUGGAACCGGUACGGGCCGAUACGGUUAGCCGGUUCGGGCCGGUACGGGUUUUUAACACCGAACCAGACCGUUCGGAGCCAGUAUCGGUUCGGUACGGGCUGAACUGGCCGCAAUAGGUGAGGCAUUUUCGGAAGGUCUACUACAUUGCUGGCAACCAAUCUGCAUUCAUUGUAAGUUGGAGAGGUCAUCACCCGAGGAGAAGAGGAGCGGGGAUCUUCUCCUCUUUUUUGUGUAUAAUUUGUAGGAUUUGGAGGCCGAUGAUAGUUUCGAAAUAAAGAUGGUAUCAAUAAAGGGUGUAGCCAUAUCUGCUGAAGUUCAAAUGGACCAACAAUAAGCAUAUGUUGGUUGACUCUGAUUUAUUUUUGGAUCUGAGAUUGACUUGUUACAAAGCCAAAUAUCGUGUAUUCUAGGGGCUAGAUUCGUGAUUUUUUGUGGAAGCUGUCCUUGAUAAAUCCUAACCAUUGAUGUCUCUUAAGCAAGCAUAUCUAAUUGGUGGAACAACAUGCAAAGGUCGAAAAACUGUCCGAUCGCAGUAUUUCUUUAAAAUUCAUAGGAUUUGGAGGCUGAUGAAAGUUUUGGGAUAAGGAUGCUAUAAAAAAAGGUAAUUUUUGGUCUUGCAUGGAUUCUGUCAUCCUUCAUUAUUCUCUAUUUUCCAUCUUUUCUUCAAGUAAUAGUGUGAAAAAAGACGAAGUGGCUUGCUUAGAGGCCAACUAGUGCUGGCGAUAACUUUAAGUUCCAUUUUUGCGCUUCAUUUAUGUAGGAGUUGCAGAAGCCGAGGUAGAAAUUUCUCUAGAGUUGGUAUUAACUAGGGUAAUCUCUUUGGACUUUCCCAUGAUGAUGUCCUUAGUCUUGGUAACAGUUAUCCAAUCAAUCAAUUAUUUAUUCUGGUCCUUUGUCUACUUUUAUUUUUCCUGAUCUUGCUACUUAUCUCUGUAUAUCUGGUGGUAAUUUGAUUCACUUGUAAACUUUUAUGCUUCAGAGGCCUGGAUCAUACUCUAUUGCUAUGUGGUGGUCUAUCGGUUGCUGCUGCAGGAAUUUCUAUACAAUAGUUUGAAUUUGAUUUUCCACUACAACUGUUCAUGAAAUACUCUUUCCUUAUAAACUUAUUACUAUUGUUUGACUACUAGAAUUAUUCCGAAUUUGUUAUUUAUAAGAUUCACUUCUAUUUAUUUGCCCCUUUUUCUUCAUAGCUAUUUAUUUGCCCCUUUUUCUUCCUAGCUAUUUCGUAGUAUUAUUUGCUAAUCAAAUUGGAAAGGGCGGAAAUAAAAUAUAAAAAUUUUAUGCUUUGCAAGUUGGAAGGUCCAUUGUUCUGCAGGCUACUGCUGCAGCCUAUUGGAGACUGGACAAGAUUUUUGGAUCGCUAAAUGCCUUUCCUCCUACUCAACUCUGCCAUUUUCUCCAGAAGGUUGUGAUGAUUCUUGGACCCGGGUUUUGCUAUGAAAGGAAAGCGGCUAUUUUCUUGAUGACGAGGCAAUCUUGGAUUUGGCAUUCUUGGCUGUUUGUGGGACUCCGUUUAAUUUGGUUCUGGUGGUUAUGUUCUAUAUUGUUUCGAUGUGCUCUCUCUCCCUCUUUUCAAUUGUUAAUGUUCUGGCUUGUGAAAUGAUCUCUGACAUGCUAAAUUCAUGGGAAAUCCUAAACCAUUAAGCUUAAAAGGUUGCUAUUUAGGAUUUCUCCGGAGGCUUAUUUCGUUAAAUGCUAAGACUAGUUCUCUGGUUCUUCAUAUAAAGAGUUUGGAUUAUUUUAUUGCU